CCUCGGGUGAGGGAGCGAGGCGAUCGCCUAAAAUUAGAGCAUAUAGUCUAACCGGUACACCCGUCGCCCGCUAUUUUAUAUUUUACCGUCUCUUUCGCGCGCCCAUCAGACGCCCGCUCUCUCCCUUCCACCACGGAGGCGCGCUGAGCGCGACUCGCUCGUCGCUCAUCCUGCCAGCCGCUUUAUCGCCUCACCCCUUUCAACGGCCAUACCCUCUCUCGCUCUCUUUAGAAACGAAUCGUUCGCUCUAGUUGGAAGUUUGGCUGGGAGUAGCUUAAUUAAUGGACUCGUUCGGAACAAAAAGGAACACGAUCGUGAAGAAUGAGAAUACAGGAAAGGAGAAGAAGAAGAAGAAAAAAGAAAAGAAGAAAUAAUGAUCCAUAGUGAAACAAUGACACGAGUGACAGCUUGUGAUUAGCCGACAUAGAAGAAUAAUCAGGAUAAUGACGGGUUUACACCCUUUCUCUGCUGCGCGAAAGGGAGUAGAUCGAAUGACUGGGGGGGGGGGAGAGGGGGGCGAGAGAGGAUGGCGGUUGCACGGUUUGUCGAGUUAAUUGUCGUCUAGCGUGUCGAUGCGGACGUACCCCUGUCCAGGCACACGCAAAUGUCACUGGGAGGCACGGAGGAAGGGUGGAGAAAGAAAAUAUAUAAAAAUAUGUAAAAGUUGGCGGCUAUAUGACAAUUAAAAAAAGGAGGAAACGAGUGCGCGGGGGAUUGUUUCGUCAGCGAAUUUCGGGGAACCGUAAUGGAGGGACGAUAAAGAAAUACGAUCGCGCGCUAAUUGAUGCUAAAACCACGACUUUAACGUUUAAUCGAUCGUCGAAUAGUUUGUGCCGCGAAUGGACGUAACAACGUAGCCGAAAUCGAAGAGGAACUGUUUCUUUUUUUUUAUCCUUUCAAAAGUGGAAGAAUUUGUAGAAGAGACUCGAUGAUUUCUUUAUUUAUGGAUUUUAGAGAUCGAAACAGUCUGAUAAAAAUUUAAAAAAAUUAUAAAAAUCUCACCAAUAAAUAGAAAUUUGCAUAGUAUAGACAGUCAUAAUGCAAAUAUUUAAUACAUUUAAUGAUACAAAAUAAAAGAGAAGAAAGACAAGAACCGUCUAAAGAAAUUUUAAUUAAAAAUCAUGAAAGAGCACAAAGAUCCACUGAAACCAUUAUUUUCACAAAAUAUUAUUUCCAUAUAACUUUCUCACGAAAAUAAAAUCUAUCCCCUCAACCUCUUUCUCUUGAUAAAAAAAUUAAAAAUAAAUAAACGAUGAAUUAUUGUCAAAUUUAUAUAAUCAAUCGACUAUAGCUAAAAAAAAAAAUAUCUCUACAAUCACACUUCCGCUACAUCUAUAUCUCAAUACGAAUCUAUCGUAAAACGAUCAUCGUGGAAUUUAAUAGAUCUUUAGAAUUUUUCGAUGCCCCCUAAGAUAACUUUACCCAAUCGUCAAUCGAUCGAGAAAUAACGUCAAAGGAAAUCGAAAGAGAGAGAGAGGGAGAGAGAAGAAAAAAAAGAAGAGACACAAGAUCAUGGAACGCACGAGCGUUGAGUUUUUCGCGGCGGAGAGAUAAUCGGCAGGUAGCACGAUCUAACGCGAUCGUGAAAAGAUGGAGGAUCGGCGGGCACGCGGAUAAUAAUCGCUGAUUGGCAUCGAUCGAAACUCGUUGGGCAGGUUUUAUGGGAAAAUCGGCUGACACGUGACGAGCGAGCGAUCGACAGUCGGCCAGGCUGCUACGUGACCGCGAUCGUUGAUCACAACAGGCAGGGAGGAGGGAAAAGAGGAGGAAAUACGGGGAGGAAAAGACGAUAAUUCGGUCCACCGGUACCCCCAAAGGGGGAGAAAAAACUUAAUUUUGUGCGCGGAUUAUUAAUCCGGAAUCCGGUUUCUUGCGUGCGAUACAUUUUCAUGUGGGCUGUGACCGGAAUCGCGAUCGUUAUUUAUUCCAUUGUGCCCGCAUUAAAUAUUCAAACGAGAGACGGACGCAAUGUGGAUCGUAAUAGUUUUGUCGCGCUGAAUAUUUCCACUUGCUUUAACCUUUCUGCAAUCCUGCGCCAGAGUCCGCUCUCCCGUCGAAUCGGUCAAAGAGCGACAAGGAGCGAAUGAUUUGGGGGAAUUAUAGGGGAAUCCAGAGGGCGCUUUCGAGAAAACCCGAAUACCAGCAUCUUCAUUUGUCUUUAACUUUUAAGAUUGUAUUUUUAAUAUUACUUAAAACAUUACUUUAUCAAGAAUAUAAAUGUAUAUAUAGUAUAUAUAGUUUCUUAUAAUUCAUAAUAAAUAAUUAAAGUUUCCUCUCUAAAUUCAUUGAACGAUAAAUGAAUGAAUAUCGUGCACUAUAUAUAAUAUAUAUUCUACAUUUUUUUGAUGCUACGAUACAUGAACAAUAUUUAACAAUAAUAACAUUUUUCAAAUAUGAUAAAUAGUAAUAACUAAUCACGAUAUCAUUUUUAUAACGAUACGUAUUCUAGCUCAUUGACCAAUCAGAUUUCUAGACACUAGAGAAUAUUUCCAACGUGUGCUCCUAGUAAAAACUCACGAGUUAUCCAGACAAGGCGAACAUAAGUGCGGAUGGAGUGAAAUAGACACACGAUGAAAAAUCAAAGAAUCCGAAUAAAUUUGCAAUGCUUAAGUGCUAGAACGAAAAUUGGCGGAUUCAAGUAGUCUAACAUAUAAUCAGCCAGCUCGUGAUGCGACAAAGCGGAAGGCACGUGCAACGUAUAUGGAAACAAGCGGUCAUUCUUUCAUUGUCCAAAUAUUAGUGCAUAGACGUAAGACACUUUGGCACAAAAUUUCGAUGGCGUACUAUUCUCUUUGAUUUGGAUAAUGCACACAGAUAGAUUCGAAACAAUACGCGUGAUAUGGAAGGGAUCGAACGAAUUUCCACGACGAGACAACUGCGAGGAUCGACUCAAGCUGCCGAAUACGGAUCGAAAGCCCUGCAAAAUUUCGAAUUUCUCACAGCAGUGACUGGUCUAGGCCAUAAGAACAUCGUUAAGAUUAUAUUUAGGCAUCAUAAAAGAAAAUAUGCGCCCGUUGGAGCCAAGUCGCUCAUUACGUGAGACAGCAUUUAACGUCGACGUACGGAUGCUGGGUUCGAGCGUCGUAUACUCGUGUUAAAAUAUUAACAACGCUGGAAUUUCGCUUUUGUUCGACAACUUUUAGAACAAAGUGAUAGAAGGAGAUUCUAACGAUAAAAUAGGUUGUUUAUCAUUUUUCUCGUAUCAAUAAGAAUCGAUAUUACGAAUAUGUUAUUGCGUCUACGCUAUCACG